AUUUAAAGAAAGCGUAAUAGCUCACUGGUCGAGUCGGCCUGCGCGGAAGAUGUAACGGGGCUAAACCAUGCACCGAAGCUGCGGCAGCGAACGUAUCACUUAAAGCGAUUCAGCGGGUUACGAUUGACGGAGCGAAGCGACGUCAAAGCGUAUACAAAGUCGAGUCGGUUUAAGGAUACGUUCGUUGGGUAGGGGAGCGUUCUGUAAGCCCGUGAAGGUGGCCUGUGAGGGUUGCUGGAGGUAUCAGAAGUGCGAAUGCUGACAUAAGUAACGAUAAAGCGGGUGAAAAGCCCGCUCGCCGGAAGACCAAGGGUUCCUGU
rnacentral:rRNA from 1 species